UACGAAGGGGGCUAGCGUUGUUCGGAAUCACUGGGCGUAAAGGGCGCGUAGGCGGCCAUAUAAGUCGGGGGUGAAAGCCUGUGGCUCAACCACAGAAUUGCCUUCGAUACUGUAUGGCUCGAGACCGGAAGAGGUAAGUGGAACUGCGAGUGUAGAGGUGAAAUUCGUAGAUAUUCGCAAGAACACCAGUGGCGAAGGCGGCUUACUGGUCCGGUUCUGACGCUGAGGCGCGAAAGCGUGGGAGCAAACAGG
rnacentral:rRNA from 1 species